AUCCAUGUACCGCAAUGGAUAGUGCGUUGAACUUCCAUUCCAAAUGUCGUGGAUUCGAAUCCCACCAGGGAUG